GAUGAACGCUAGCGGCAGGCUUAAUACAUGCAAGUCGUGGGGCAGCAUGGGGUAGCAAUACCCUGAUGGCGACCGGCAAACGGGUGCGGAACACGUACGCAACCUUCCUUUAACUGGAGAAUAGCCCCUCGAAAGAGGGAUUAAUACUCCGUAAUAUCCCGAUAUGGCAUCAUAAUGGGAUUAUAGCUUCUGCGGUUAGAGAUGGGCGUGCGCCUGANAGGUUAGUGGCGGGGUAAUGGCCCACCAAGCCUGCGAUCAGUAACUGGUGUGAGAGCACGACCAGUCACACGGGCACUGAGACAC
rnacentral:rRNA from 1 species